UCAGCGACGCGCGUCACCAAACGCACUUAUUUCAAGGAGAAGAGAAAAGAAAAAAAGAAACUUGCGCUACACAACCAGCGCCAUUAAAAUGUAUAACGACGACAGAAAGGACGACUGGGAUAACGCACCUCGUCUGCUCUUUCUGCCACUGCCAACUGUGAUGAAGUCCUCACGUUGCAGCGAGAUGAGACUGGAUGGAGCGACCUUUUUUUGUUGUUUUUUUUAACUGAAAGGAAUUGCUGCCAACUGUCACGAAGAGACUGGAUGGAGCUUCCCGUUUGAAGAGAAAGGGAAACGCAAGGAAUUGCUGCCAACUGUCUUAAAGUCGUCACAUUGCAGCAUUAUGAGACCGAGCGGAGCCUCCUGUCGCUGCAAGAUGGUGUAUUCUCCAGAAUCUGUAUUGAUACCGCCUGUCUUGUCUUAAGACCUCCAUCCCGCGCUGGAAGGAUGCCGUGGAGUUUCUCAGGCUUCUCCCUCCCCAAGCCUGACUAUCUGCACACUGACCAGGAGGCCAGCUCCUCCGUGGCUCAAGCUCGGGAGACUUCAGCGAUGUGCUUUUGGCAGGAAGAGCGAUCGUCGACAUGGAGGAGAACAAAACGUGUGUUGCCAGCCGCAGGUUUCCUCUCUUAAUGGGCGGAAGACCUCCGACCUGAUGGCUGGUGAGGACACACGGCCUGUGUUUCAUUGAAGGCUAAUCUUAUAGGCGCACUCUGAAGACUCUCAUCCAGCUCCACAGCAGCCACUGAUAUGGUUGCAGGUCACCGCCGAAGUUGAGCUGGAUCUUCACCUGCUGCACAUGUUGUCCUUGAUCCCUGAGCUGCAGCAGGAUGACCUGAAUUCACCCCACGCGGGGGCAUCGCACGUCCAGUGUGUGUGCUUGUUCUCUAGCUUCUAUCUGAGGACUCCAGCAGCAUGCAGGUUGUCACACAGGUGAGGACGGAGUGCGGCGGCAACUUCCUGACUGGAUGUGCAGCGGACAAGCCACUGAAAAUAAUGUCUUGGAGGACGCCGCUGUCACUCUCUACCUUUUUAAAGGGCCUUUAGGGUUCGAAUAAAUUUCCCAUAACUCUCUGUCCUCGCUCCGAUGGACGUGGUGGCGUUGGAACGGCGCAGUGAUCCACGACGCCGACCGCGUUGCAGCAGCGUGUCGAGCAUCAACCCCCCCCCCACCACCACCAAUACAUUUGUGCUUAACUGUCAUCGCCGUAGUAAAUACGCACAAGCGCUAUCGUGUCUAUAUGGCUGACUGUCAUCGUCGAAGCGCUGGCGUCCGUCACAGGAAUGGCUUCAGAGGAGACUGUGGCGGUUUGACGGUGGAUUCCUCCUGAAGGGAUUGCAGUUCGCGUGGUCGCCUUGCAUCAUCAGAGACCUGGUUCCGUCUGUCGGCGGCCCGGGUCUCUGUUGUGCGUGCGUUUGGUUCAGUGUGCUGAAUACCAGAUGGGGAGCAUUUCUGUUGCCUCGCUCGACGUGGAGUCACGGGUGCAUGUAGCCUCGACCAAUAUAUUGGGUGUUGGCCAGGCAUGAGCAGAUCCUACAGGUAAAACCACUUUGUGUACCGUUUUCAUUUCACUAAAUAAACAUCUACAAAUA